rnacentral:rRNA from 1 species
UUGACGGGGCCCGCACAAGCGGUGGAGUAUGUGGUUUAAUUCGAUGCAACGCGAAGAACCUUACCUGGUCUUGACAUCCCGGAGACCCUUAGGAAACUAGGGGGUGCUUCCAUCUGGAAGAAUCUGGAGACAGGUGCUGCAUGGCUGUCGUCAGCUCGUGUCGUGAGAUGUUGGGUUAAGUCCCGCAACGAGCGCAACCCUUGCCUUUAGUUGCCAGCAGUUCGGCUGGGCACUCUAAAGGGACUGCCGGUGUUAAACCGGAGGAAGGUGGGGAUGACGUCAAGUCCUCAUGGCCUUUAUGACCAGGGCUACACACGUACUACAAUGGCCGAUACAAAGGGCAGCGACACUGCGAGGUGAAGCCAAUCCCGUAAAAUCGGUCUCAGUCCGGAUUGGAGUCUGCAACUCGACUCCAUGAAGUUGGAAUCGCUAGUAAUCGUGGAUCAGCAUGCCACGGUGAAUACGUUCCUGGGCCUU